AUUGAACGCUGGCGGCAGGCUUAACACAUGCAAGUCGAGCGGAGCGGCGGACGGGUGCGGAAUGGCUAGGAAUCUGCCUGGUGGUGGUGGAUAAGGUCCGGAAACGGGCGCUAAUACCGCAUACUAUCCGACUAGCCUAGGUCGGCUUAGCUAGUUGGUGGGGUAAAGGCCUACAAGGGCGACGAUCCGUAACUGGUCCGAGAGGAUGAUCAGUCACACUGGAACUGAGACACGGUCCAGAGUCCUACGGGAGGCAGCAGUGGGGAAUAUUGGAAAAUGGGCGAAAGCCGGAUGCAGCCAGGCCGCGUGUGUGAAGAAGGUCUUCGGAUUGUAAAGCAUUUUAAGUUGGGAGGCGUUACCAACAGAAUAAGCACCGGCUAACUUCGUGCCAGCCGCCGCGGUAAUAC
rnacentral:rRNA from 1 species